rnacentral:rRNA from 1 species
AGUAACGCGUGGGUAACCGUGCCUCAUACAGGGGAGUAAGAUGAACGAUUGCUAAUACCGCAUAAGCGCACAGUACCACAUGGUGCAGUGUGAAAAACUACCGGUGGUAUGAGAUGGACCCGCGUCUGAUUAGCUAGUUGGUGAGGUAACGGCCCACCAAGGCAACGAUCAGUAGCCGACCUGAGAGGGUGACCGGCCACAUUGGGACUGAGACACGGCCCAG